rnacentral:rRNA from 1 species
GACAAACGCUGGCGGCGUGCUUAACACAUGCAAGUCGAACGGUCACUCUUCGGAGUGAUAGUGGCGGACGGGUGAGUAACACGUAGUUAACCUACCCUUAUGUGGGGAAUAACCCCUCGAAAGAGGAGCUAAUACCGCAUACGCUCUUUUGUGAUAGCAGAAGAGGAAACCUUACUCGUAAGAGUUGGGGCAGAAGGAUGGGACUGCGGCGGAUUAGCUAGAUGGUGGGGUAACGGCCUACCAUGGCGACGAUCCGUAGCUGGUCUGAGAGGACGACCAGCCACACUGGGACUGAGACACGGCCCAGACUCCUACGGGAGGCAGCAGUGAGGAAUAUUCCACAAUGGGCGAAAGCCUGAUGGAGCGACGCCGCGUGCGGGAAGAAGCC